rnacentral:rRNA from 1 species
AGCUAGAGUUUGAUCCUGGCUCAGGACGAACGCUGGCGGCAUGCCUAACACAUGCAAGUCGAACGGAGACAGCAAUGUCUUAGUGGCGAACGGGGUGAGUAACGCGUGAGCAACCUGCCUCGUACAACGGGGAUACCUGCGAGAAAAUUGCAGUUAAUACGGUAUAAAGACCACGCCGUCGCAUGACGGAGGGGUAAAAGGGAGCAAUUCCGGUAUGAGAUGGGCUCGCGUCGCAUUAGCUAGUUGGUGGGGUAACGGCCUACCAAGGCGACGAUGCGUAGCCGACCUGAGAGGGUAAUCGGCCACAUUGGGACUGAGAUACGGCCCAGACACCUACGGGUGGCAGCAGUGAGGAAUAUUCCGCAAUGGGCGAAAGCCUGACGGAGCAAUGCCGCGUGAAUGAAGAAGGUCUUCGGAUUGUAAAGUUCUUUAGUCAGGGACGAAGAAAGUGACGGUACCUGAAGAAUAAGCCCCGGCUAACUACGUGCC